CCUACGGGUGGCAGCAGUGAGGAAUAUUGGUCAAUGGACGCAAGACUGAACCAGCCAAGCCGCGUGCAGGAGGAAGGUUCAAUGAAUCGUAAACUGCUUUUGUACGGGGACAAAAACAGAUACGCGUCUCCGUAUGACUGUAUCGUACGAAUAAGCAUCGGCUAACUCCGUGCCAGCAGCCGCGGUAAUACGGAGGAUUCAAGCGUUAUCCGGAUUUAUUGGGGUUAAAGGGUGCGUAGGCGGUCGGAUAAGUCAGAGGUGAAAUCCCGAGGCUCAACUUCGGCACUGCCUCUGAUACUGUUCGUCUAGAGAUGAGGGGCGGUAUGCGGAAUGUAUGGUGUAGCGGUGAAAUGCUUAGAGAUCGUACAGAACUCCGAUUGCGAAGGCAGCAUGCCAGGC
rnacentral:rRNA from 1 species